rnacentral:rRNA from 1 species
UACAGAGGGUGCGAGCGUUGUCCGGAAUCACUGGGCGUAAAGGGCGCGUAGGCGGUCGGAUAAGCGUGCGGUGAAAGCCCGGGGCUCAACCCCGGGUCGGCCGUGCGGACUGUUCGACUGGAGCACUGUAGAGGCAGGUGGAAUUCCGGGUGUAGCGGUGGAAUGCGUAGAGAUCCGGAAGAACACCCGUGGCGAAAGCGGCUCUCUGGAACGGUACUGACGCUGAGACGCGAAAGCGUGGGGAGCGAACAGG